rnacentral:rRNA from 1 species
UUUUUGACAAUGGGGGAAACCCUGAUCCAGCCAUCCCGCGUGUUCGAUUAAGGCCUUCGGGUUGUAAAACACUUUUGGCAGGGCAGAAAAGGUUCUGGCUAAUACCCGGAACUGGUGCCGGUACCUUGAGAAUAAGCCCCGGCUAACUACCGUCCAACAGCCGCGGUAAUACGUAGGGUGCAAGCGUUAAUCGGAAUUACUGGGCGUAAAGCGUGCGCAGGCGGUUCGGAAAGAAGGAUGUGAAAUCCCAGGGCUCAACCUUGGAACUGCAUUCUUAACUACCGAACUAGAGUAUGUCAGAGGGGGGUAGAAUUCCGCGUGUAGCAGUGAAAUGCGUAGAUAUGCGGAGGAAUACCGAUGGCGAAGGCAGCCCCCUGGGAUAAUACUGACGCUCAUGCACGAAAGCGUGGGUAGCAAACAGG